UGAACGCUGGCGGCAUGCCUUACACAUGCAAGUCGAACGGUAACAGGUUAAGCUGACGAGUGGCGAACGGGUGAGUAAUAUAUCGGAACGUGCCCAGUCGUGGGGGAUAACGUAGCGAAAGCUACGCUAAUACCGCAUACGAUCUAUGGAUGAAAGCGGGGGAUCGCAAGACCUCGCGCGAUUGGAGCGGCCGAUAUCAGAUUAGCUAGUUGGUGAGGUAAAGGCUCACCAAGGCGACGAUCUGUAGCUGGUCUGAGAGGACGACCAGCCACACUGGAACUGAGACACGGUCCAGACUCCUACGGGAGGCAGCAGUGGGGAAUUUUGGACAAUGGGCGAAAGCCUGAUCCAGCAAUGCCGCGUGCAGGACGAAGGCCUUCGGUUGUAAAGCACUUUGUCCGGAAGAAAUCCUUGGGUUAAUACCUCGGGGGUAGUGACGGUACCGGAAGAUAAGCACCGGCUAACUACGUGCCAGCAGCCGCGGUA
rnacentral:rRNA from 1 species